rnacentral:rRNA from 1 species
GACGAACGCUGGCGGCGUGCUUAACACAUGCAAGUCGAACGGUAAGGCCCUUCGGGGUACACGAGUGGCGAACGGGUGAGUAACACGUGGGUGAUCUGCCCUGCACUUCGGGAUAAGCCUGGGAAACUGGGUCUAAUACCGGAUAGGACCACUGCCUGCAUGGGUGGUGGUGGAAAGCUUUUGCGGUGUGGGAUGGGCCCGCGGCCUGUCAGCUUGUUGGUGGGGUGAUGGCCUACCAAGGCGACGACGGGUAGCCGGCCUGAGAGGGUGACCGGCCACACUGGGAGUGGAAUACGGCCCAGGCUCCGACGGGAGGCAGCAGUGGGGAAUAUUGCACAAUGGGCGCGAGCCUGAUGCAGCGACGCCGCGUGAGGGAUGACGGCCUUCGGGUUGUAAACCUCUUUCAGCACCGACGAAGCGCAAGUGACGGUAGGUGCAGAAGAAGGACCGGCCAACUACGUGCCAGCCGCCGCGGUAA